AUGGGUGUAGGCGGGCAAGGGGCUGCCUCCGCCCUCUGAUUCCAUCUCUCCCAGCACUGACGUCAUCGCUGGCCCCACCAGAGCAUUGUGGGUCCCAGGCAGAGAGACAGCCGAGGAGAGGGGAGUCCAGGAAGCUGCUGGGGGUGUCCUCACCAAUGGCCCCAGGGCUCUGGCCCCAACCCAGCUGGCACAGGUGUGAAGAUGUCCAGGCCCCACCCGUGCAGCCCAGCCAUCCACUGCCUGGCUUGGCUACCGCCAAGAGGUGGGGCAGGAGAAACAGGAGAUUUGAAUAAUGGGAGAAAAUUAUUAUGUCUUCAUGUGAGCUGGAGCCCAGCCCCGCUCCCCCCGGGGGUGAUAACUAGGGAGGCUUACAUUUCCCCUCUGAGCCAGGGCUGGCUGUGACAAUACGCACAUUGUUCCUGGACCAGGCAUUGUCAUCUGAUGACAGCAUCCAGGCCUGGCUGCAAAACCCCAGGCACAGACAUGGACCCUGAGAGGAAAGAGAAAGCGGUGGCAGGCUGAGAAAGCAAAACGUCAGUGCAGGAGGGAAAUCGCCACUUGCUGCUGAUGGUUUUGUACAACCGGCCUGGUGACAGCUUCGCCCACAGCUGGUCCAAGGCCAGGCAGGGGAGCGGUGGGUAUCAUGGCAGGUGUGGCAUGGAGUGCAGAGGACCCGUUCUAGCCAAACUGAGAAGGUCCUGGUGUCCCUGUCUCAGCCGGAGCAACAACCCCACCUGCCUUCCACCACUCAAGGAAGCCAGAAUCAGAAGCCAGAUUGGUUUGCUGUGGACUCUAGCAGAUGUUCCUGCUAUGGAGUCUAGGAGGCACUUGGAGGCCUCCUUUCCUGUGGAGAACACAGUGCUGAAGAAGAUUUUGAGGUCAGAAAACCACCACCAUAACCAUCAUCACCACUACCACCAUCAUCAUCACCAUCACCAUCACCAUCACCACCACCAUCAUCGUCAUUGUCACAAUCACCAAUGAUUCCUAUCUCCACCACCACUAUAGCAAUAGCCACCAUAGGAGAGAAAGCAGUUUUGUGGAAUAAAAAGUGAUCUGUGUCUUACUUACCAUCUGCAUGCAGGGUAGUUGAGCUGCGGGGCCAGCCUGGUAGAGACAGGUGUGGAAGGGGUGUACAGGGAAAGAGCCCUGGCCUGGGGCUCUGCACUGAGCUCUGCUCACCACUCUUUGUGUGGCCUUGGAAAGCCCCAACCUCUGUAAAAGCAAGGGCUCUGAGGAGGAGGCUUUGAUGGGGGCCCAGGAGUCUGCUAAGUUCUCUUGUAACCUUCAGGCACUGUGGCGAUAAACACAAGGAUUUCUCAAGAUCCCCACCCCCAGGUCCUCCUCUGACCCCCAGAUGCCCAACGCAGCACAGCAGACCAACAAAAGAGCAAAGGUACAAAGGAGGAGGCAGCUGCCCUGGGACUGGGAGCCAGGGAGGCUCUGGCUUCCCUUGUUAUUUCCUAUAUGUGUCUAACAAGCUACUCAGAGCCCCUACCCCAAAAUUUCCCCCAAAGAUGGGCCAGAAAUCCCCAAG
rnacentral:lncRNA from 1 species